UACGAAGGGGGCUAGCGUUGCUCGGAAUCACUGGGCGUAAAGCGCACGUAGGCGGCUUUCUAAGUCAGGGGUGAAAUCCUGGAGCUCAACUCCAGAACUGCCUUUGAUACUGGAGAGCUAGAGUCCGGAAGAGGUGAGUGGAACUGCGAGUGUAGAGGUGAAAUUCGUAGAUAUUCGCAAGAACACCAGUGGCGAAGGCGGCCCACUGGGCCGGUACUGACGCUGAGGUGCGAAAGCGUGGGGAGCAAACAGG
rnacentral:rRNA from 1 species